rnacentral:rRNA from 1 species
AACGAACGCUGGCGGCAGGCUUAAUACAUGCAAGUCGAACGCCCCCUUCGGGGGGAGCGGCAGACGGGUGAGUAACGCGUGGGAACGUGCCCAAAGGUAGGGAACAACUCCGGGAAACUGGAGCUAAUACCCUAUGUGCCCGAGAGGGGAAAGAUUUAUCGCAUUUGGAUCGGCCCGAGUCGGAUUAGCUAGUUGGUGGGGUAAAAGCCUACAACGGCGACGAUCUGUAGCUGUUCUGAGAGGAAGAUCAGCCACACUGGGACUGAGACACGGCCCAGGCUCCUACGGGAUGCAGCAUUGGUGAAUUUUGGACAAUGGGCGAAAGCCUGGUCCAGCAAUGCCGCGUGCAGGAAGAAGGCCUUCGGGUUGUAAACUGCUUUUGUACGGAGCGAAAAGGUCCUUUCUAAUACAAGGGGCUCAUGACGGUACCGUAAGAAUAAGCACCGGCUAACUACGUGCCAGCAGCCGCAGUAACAC